GCCCUGGUGGCACAAUGGUUAAGUGUUAGGCUCCUAACCGAAAAAUGGGUGGUUUGAACCCACUCAACGGCU
rnacentral:tRNA from 1 species